rnacentral:tRNA from 1 species
GAAAUAUAUUAAAUUAAGCUUCUAACUUAAUAUAAAGCGUUAAAUCGUUUAUAUUUCU